GAUGAACGCUAGCGACAGGCCUAACACAUGCAAGUCGAGGGGCAGCACAAGGUAGCAAUACUGAGGUGGCGACCGGCGCACGGGUGAGUAACGCGUAUGCAACCUGCCUGCAACAGGGGAAUAGCCUCUUGAAAGAGAGAUUAAUGCCGCAUAAUACGAGAUUCGGGCAUCCGGAUUUAGUUAAACAUUUAUGGGUUACAGAUGGGCAUGCGUUUCAUUAGGUAGUUGGUGAGGUAACGGCUCACCAAGCCGACGAUGAAUAGGGGUUCUGAGAGGAAGGUCCCCCACACUGGUACUGAGACACGGACCAGACUCCUACGGGAGGCAGCAGUGAGGAAUAUUGGUCAAUGGACGCAAGUCUGAACCAGCCAAGUCGCGUGAAGGAUGAAGGUAUUAUGUAUUGUAAACUUCUUUUGUCAGGGAAUAAUGGGUGUCACGUGUGACGCAGAGGAAUGUACCUGACGAAUAAGCAUCGGCUAACUCCGUGCCAGCAGCCGCGGUAAUACGGAGGAUGCGAGCGUUAUCCGGAUUUAUUGGGU
rnacentral:rRNA from 1 species